AAAAAAAAAGAAAAAAGAAAAAAAUGUCUCUUAUACAUGCCAUCUGAAUUUCUCUCCCUUUCUUACCAUGUGUACUUACAUAGAAAUACCAGUUGCUGUGUUUGCACAGCACCCAGCUGAUAACAGCGAAAGCCUCUCAUUCUUCACACCCAUUUGCCAGGCUCUUUAAUGUGAGCUGAAGAGAAGGGCACCUCCCCUGCAGUUUAAGUAUGAUCCAAGUGGAAUGAUUCACACCAGGCCCUGCUCUUCUUUUCAAUCUAGCGACUCAGCUUUUAAUAUGUGAAACUUCCAGGGAAGUUCCCGAUGGAGGAAAAUGGAGUUAAAAUACUGACUAUUUAAGUUAAAGGCACUGGAAAAACAGUAGCUGUACUCUGACCUUUGUGCUGUUUCUUAAAAGCAGCAGAUGAGAUUCCCGUGUGAAAGAUGCAACAUCUUUAUCCUCAAGGACAAGAAGUCAAGACCAAGAAAAGUUUACACAUAACUUGAUAAACCAACUCUUCUAUCUCCCCAAAUAAUUUAUGGCUUCUUCAUAACUUACUAUUCUUUAUCCAUUAGUAAGUGACUGUGUUUCUUCCGGUCUUUGUUUCUUUAUGAUACCUCCAGUGCCACCUAAAACUUGUAUUAAAUAAUUUUGUAUGCUUUUCUCCUA